rnacentral:rRNA from 1 species
GUAUAAAGCGGCGAACGGGUGAGUAACAGGUGGAUAAUCUACCUUACGGUGGGGGACAACGGUCGGAAACGACCACUAAUACCGCAUACGAUUAUUGGUUCUUCGGGACCGGUAAGGAAAGGGGCUUUCAAGCUCCGCCGUAAGAUGAGUCCGCCCCCCAUUAGCUUGUUGGCGGGAUAACAGCCCACCAAGGCGACGAUGGGUAGCCGAGCUGAGAGGUUGAUCGGCCACACUGGGACUGAGACACGGCCCAG